rnacentral:rRNA from 1 species
AGUGAACGCUGGCGGUAGGCCUAACACAUGCAAGUCGAACGGCAGCACAGUAAGAGCUUGCUCUUACGGGUGGCGAGUGGCGGACGGGUGAGGAAUACAUCGGAAUCUACUUUUUCGUGGGGGAUAACGUAGGGAAACUUACGCUAAUACCGCAUACGACCUACGGGUGAAAGCAGGGGAUCUUCGGACCUUGCGCGAUUGAAUGAGCCGAUGUCGGAUUAGCUAGUUGGCGGGGUAAAGGCCCACCAAGGCGACGAUCCGUAGCUGGUCUGAGAGGAUGAUCAGCCACACUGGAACUGAGCCACGGUCCAGACUCCUACGGGAGGCAGCAGUGGGGAAUAUUGGACAAUGGGCGCAAGCCUGAUCCAGCCAUACCGCGUGGGUGAAGAAGGCCUUCGGGUUGUAAAGCCCUUUUGUUGGGAAAGAAAAGCAGCAGGUUAAUACCCCGCUGUUCUGACGGUACCCAAAGAAUAAGCACCGGCUAACUUCGG